GAAAAACAAGCGCAGUCGCGCCACUUAUCUUCAUUAGAACUCUAUUGAAUACAUCUGAUCCUGGAAAUAUUUUGGGUUUUAUCGUAAAAAUGGGAUGUAUCACGACAAAAUUCAUUAACCCUAUUACCGGGGUGAGCACUUGUGACAAAAAGGGGUUCGACGCAUCGGGUUUCAUUGCAAUAAAGUCUCAGUAAUAAUAAGCAAUUCCAUCAUCGGAAGAGACAAGCCUAGAUAACUGCAGGAGGUGGACGGCAAUUGCAACAGCUAUGAAAUGUGGGAUGCACACUUUGCAAACACCCGAAGAAAAAAGAAAAAAACCACCAGGAAAAGAAAGAUGACCGAGAGAACGCGCUCAUAAUUUCAACGAACGCGUGUGCACGAUGCCCGAGUGAUGGCGAUCGGACCUCCUCAAUGAUACCAAUACGGACGGAAUCCUUUUUGGCAAAACUCUCGAAUCUUUGGUUGCAGAGAUCGCUAAGAGAUGAGAAGGUAG